AUUGAACGCUGGCGGCAGGCCUAACACAUGCAAGUCGAACGAGUGGCGGACGGGUGAGUAAUGUCUGGGAAACUGCCUGAUGGAGGGGGAUAACUACUGGAAACGGUAGCUAAUACCGCAUACCAUCGGAUGGGACCAGAUGGGAUUCGCUAGUAGGUGGGGUAAAGGCGCACCUAGGCGACGAUCCCUAGCUGGUCUGAGAGGAUAACCAGCAAAACUGGAACUGAGAAACGGUCCAGAAUCCUACGGGAGGCAGAAGUGGGGAAUAUUGCAAAAUGGGCGCAAUCCUGAUGCAGCAAGGCCGCGUGUAUGAAGAAGGCCUUCGGGUUGUAAAGUACGUUCAGCGGGGAGGCGUUACCCGCAGAAGAAGCACCGGCUAACUCCGUGCCAGCAGCCGCGGUAAUAC
rnacentral:rRNA from 1 species